GAGGUGCAAGCAUUUUGAGAUUGGAGGGGAUAAGAAGGGAAAGGGCACUUCUCUAUUUUAGAUGGAUUAUUCAUGGUCUUUUUUGCUAUACUAUCUUCCUUUUAGACCCUUCCUUUUAUGUUUGUUCUACUUUUUUGUACUUUGAUUAUUGUGUUCCAUUCCCAAAUUUCUGAAUAUGAUUAAUUUGUUGGAUGUUCUGUGAUGCUUGAAGUAUGUUUAAUUUCAAGAUUGAGUACAUGUAGGGUUAGGGACUUGUUUUCUUGAAUUUCAUUCCAAGAUUAAGAUGCAAUAUAGAUGUCAUGGCAUGGAUGAUAUUGGAUAGCUGCCAGAAAAGUUCUUAAAAUCAGUUUUUAAGAAUAUGUUUUUGAUGUAUUCUCAAAAAUUGUUUUUUUUUUUUCUUAAAAGCGUAAAUAGAAAAUAUUUUUAUAAGUUUGACCCUUUUUACUUCUUUUUGGGUUAUUUUAUUUUUUUAUGGUUAAAAAGCAAUAUAUUAAAACAAGACAUUCCAGAAAGGCACCCUAGGAAGUAUACAAAAGUAGCUUAAGAGCGCCUUAAAAAGGAAAAAGGGGAACAACAAAAACACCUCAUCAAUCAAAGCCUAACCAAUCAACAAAAUUAACAAUAGAAUAAGGUUCAAAAACUAAGUACAUCUUAGCGCAAACCCAUAGGUUAAAGGAAAGAAAGUUUAAGCCUUUGGAUCGCCUUUCAUUAUCAAAAGCCUAAUUAUUUUUUUCUUUUCAAACAAUCCAAAAAAGGCAUAUAAGAGCAGGUUGUCAUACUUUUUUCCUUUCUUGCCACAAAAAAACCAUGUUGCCCUAGUAAUGUCUCUCUAACUUCGAAAGGAAGAACUCAUGACACCCUAAAAAGAGAAAACAAGUGCCAAAGAAUCCUUGUCAUAUCGUAAUGCAAUAGAAUGUGAUUAAGUGUCUCUUUCUUUGAGAGACACAGGUAACAUCUGCUAACCAAAGGUCAUCCUCUCCUUUGAAUCCAAUCCAAAGUUAGCACCUUGUUUCAAGUAGCCUCUCAAGCAAAGAAACCUACUCUCGUGACAUCCAUGAGUUCCAAAUUACACUUGAAGGGAAAUCGCCUUGUCUUUCCGGUUCCAAAGCCUUGUUAAGAAAUUUGACAAUAAAUUUACCAUCUUUUGACUUUGUUUAAACCACUUGAUCAUUCUCAUCCUGUACAUCCUCUUUCCUUACGAUCUCUAAAAAAAACUCUUCACAAUAAUCACCUCCUAAUCAUUAAUUCACCUAGAGAAUCGGGGAGCCCAUACUCCCCCUUUUGUAUGGUUUGAAACAUUUGACAUGCAAGCUUCCUUGGACGACUCUAUGGCAAAUGAGGGAAAAAAGAUACACAAUGGAUUGUUCCCACACCAUCUAUCCUUCCAAGAUCUCAGCAUCUUCCCAUUACCCACAAAAAAACAAAGGUCAUUAUCGCCAAGAUAUUUUAUUCUUUCUUGAUGGCUUUCCACAAACCUACCACAUUCCUUUCUUUCACUUCAUAGGAGCUCCACCCCCCCUUUUUUUCCUCAUACUUACCACAAAUAACUUGCUUUCAAAGAGCCUUCCAUUCUGUUGCAAAAAACCAAUUCCAUUUCCACAAGAGGGUCUUAUUAAGUAAUGACAAAUUUCUCACCCCCAAACUAUCGUUUCCUUUAUAUGAGCAAACAAUAGACCAACUUAUUAAAUGAGACUUUCGCAACAAGGGCCUUUUCACUUAAAAGAAAAUCCCUUUGGAUUUGCUCCAAUCUCAAUCUACUCUUCUUGGAUAAAAUAAAUAGGCAUACUAGAGACAAUGUUAUGAAUUAAGGUAAGUCAACCUUUGGAAAUUUUCCAAAUCGAUAAUCUUUUCUGAAGCCUUUCCUCCACGUCAUCCCAAACAAAUUUGAGCUGGGUACCCAAGGGAAGGCUUAAGUAAGAAGACAAAAGAGCACCAAUCUUGCAACCAAACUCUUGAGGCAACUCUUCUAAAUUCUCCACUUUCCCCAUUGGAAUGAGCUUUUUUUUUUUUCAAAUUAACCCUCAACUUGGACACAGCCUCAAAUCACAUAAGUAACCAAUUCAAAUAAGUCAUUCGAUCUAAAAAAGACUCGUAAAAGACUAAAAUGUCUUUAAUGGACAACAAAUAAGAGAUUUUCACUCUCUCUCUUCUUCUACCUCUAAUCCUCUAAACAGACAAAUGAAAGUUAUUUUAAAAAAUAUUUGGAAGAUCAAGAAAGAUUUUAGAAGAACAUUGUAGUUUCCAAAUAGGUUAUACUGAAUUCUAAAUUAACUCUCAUAUACGAUAGAAAUACAUUAUUCAAUGUAAUUUUAUGAGAAUUAUAUGUAAUAUUUUUUUGGAUACCAUUAAAAUAAUUUUUUUUACAUGUUUUGGGGUAGAUUUCAAUCGUAUUGAUGAGUUGAAUUUAAAUACAUAAUUUUCUAAAAAUAAUAAUAAUGUUGAUAUUAUUAAAAUGUUAUUAAAUAUAUAAAAUAUUUUUUUAUAUAAAUUAAAAUAAAAUUUUUAUGAGUGGGUUAUAUUUGAGUCAAAAGUCAUUUUUGUUUAAUUUAAUUUCCUUCUUGAACAAAUUAUAUUUUGAUUUAUAUAUAAAUUAGUCUAUAUUUUAUAAAAUUUGGACAAUAUCACAUUGAUAGCUAAAAUUAUGAUUUCAAUUUCAACUUCAAAUUUUUUUAUUUAAAAAACUAAUUAUAUAAUUAUCAAAUUAUUUAUAAAAGAAUCUCAUAAUCAAAAGAUUUAGGUUAUGUUUGGUUUCAUAAAAUUUAAGGAAAAAAGUAAAAGAAAGAAAAAUAGAGAGAAAAAGUAAUAAAAAAAAUUAAUAAUAAUAAUAAUAAAUUAUUUUUAUUUACUACCUUUUUUAACCGUUCAUUUAAAUAUUAAAUAAUUUGAAAAUAUGCAAGGUGCUUACUAGUUUUAAUUAUAUUUUAUUUUUAAUAAUUUUUUUCAUGGAAUAAUUAAGAAAAUAAUUUUUGUUAACAACUUUUUUUUUUUUUUUUGGUUUAGUACUUUCCACUAUCCAAACUUAAACUUAAAAGAAAUCUCGAAAAUUCCGAUAUAAGAAUAUAUUUUAGUAGGAAACUAUCAUUACUUUCUAAUAACUCAGAUUAGAAUUUGAGACAGAUGGUGUACAUGCCACGUGAUGCUCACGUGGAGGUGGGUUUAGCCUAAACCGGACGAAACUGUAAUAUAAGAAACUGGAGAGGAAGCCAAACUGAACCUUCUACUGAAACGAGAACUCUUGAAUCCAUUAACCUAAGCCAAUCCAGAACCUUCUCCUCAGAACUGUUGAAUCCGUUAACCCUAACUCCAUUUUGCAGAGCCAUGCGUGCCCUAACCAAACUCUGCAGUGCCGCCACCGGACGGCGGUUGUUUCCGGCGGCGACUGCAGUGUCUACCAGGUCAUACGCUCUGAUUCCGAUGGUGAUAGAACACUCCUCAAGAGGGGAGAGAGCCUACGACAUCUUCUCUCGCCUUCUCAAAGAGCGAAUCGUGUGUAUCAACGGUCCGAUCUCCGACGAUACUGCCCACGUCGUGGUCGCUCAACUGCUCUUCCUUGAGUCCGAGAACCCUUCUAAACCUAUCCACAUGUAUCUCAACUCUCCCGGCGGCGCUGUCAGCGCAGGUAUCAAUUUAUAUUUGUUGAAUCCAUUGUGAUUUAUUGAUUUAUACUGAUUUUUUCUCGCAUUAUUAUAAUGCUUAUAGUAUCAUGAGAUUAAGAGUAUAUUUACUUCGAUAGGAUUGCAGUGUAGGACCGAAAAAGAUAAACGUUUCAAUACUGAAAAUUUAGGGGAAAAGAGAGAGAGAGAGAGAGAGAGAGAGAGAGAGAGGGGCUGUGUUUGGAUUAAGAAAAGGUUGAGGGAAAGUACAGGGAGAGGGAAUAAGUGGGGAAAAUGCAAAGAAAUAAAAAUAUAUAUUUUUUUGAUAAAUAAGAGUAUGCAUUAAAAAGUGCAUAAGAGUAGACAGGUCGCAUACAAUGAGUGCCAAAAGACUAAACAGAAAAUAGGGGAAGCAAAAAAAUAGUCCCUCCCUCAGUGAAGACCCAACCAAUCUAUAAAAAUAAUAAGUUUUUAAAAUAACUGUUAUUCAUUCUUAUUAUUCAUGACAAAUGAAAAAGAAAAAGUAUUUGAGAUUUCUUUGCAUGCCCAAGCAUUUUCCAUAAUCUAAGUGUAGCUUAAUGCAUUUCCACACUGAAAAAACAUGGAAAAGUUGUUUCUUGAUUUAUUUUCAAACAAUGUUACCUGAAAAUGGGUCAUCAUUGAAAGAAUAUUAAAAAUUAUCUAUUGAAAAAUAUGUUUGUUGAUGCAUUCUCAAAGCUGAAAAGCCAUUUUCAUUUUUGUUAUCAAACAGCUGUAUGGGUUUUGUUUGUAUAGCAUUACUAAAAUUGUAAACAAAUGUCAUAUAUUUGAUUUAGAUGUUUACAGUUAUAGGGUGUCUAACAACAAUGCCUAUAUAACCAUCUUGUUAUUUAUAAAGAAUGAUAUAUUUUCUUGACUUAAAAUGUCAAUCUUAAUUGAAAAUUGCUAGUAAUGAUUUGGUUGUAGAUCAAUUGCAUUUUUCUCAAGUCCUUAUGAUUUUAUUUUUCUGUUAUUUGUCUAGGUCUUGCUAUUUAUGAUACAAUGCAGUACAUUAGGUCGCCAGUUAAUACCAUUUGUUUGGGUCAAGCUGCAUCAAUGGGUUCCCUUCUAUUGGCUGCGGGUGCCAAGGGUGAGAGACGGGCACUCCCAAAUGCCACAAUUAUGAUUCACCAGCCUUCAGGUGGGUACAGUGGGCAGGCAAAGGAUAUGACUAUUCACACAAAACAGAUUAUUCGGGUUUGGGAUUCGCUGAAUGCAUUGUAUGCAAAGCAUACUGGACAGUCAUUAGAUAUUAUUCAAAAGAAUAUGGAUAGGGAUUAUUUUAUGACCCCAGAAGAGGCAAAGGAGUUUGGGAUAAUUGAUGAGGUUAUUGAUCAGAGACCAAUGGCUUUAGUGACUGAUGCAGUUGGGAAUGAAGGCAAAGAUAAAGGCUCUAAUAAGGAUUGAGGGUAAGAUCUCUUUUGUCGUUUUAUUGACAAUGUUAAACUUUUGUGGUUUACCAAUUAUUUUUACAUGAGUUCUAUUAAUUUUAUUUAUUGGUGGAACCUGUGCUUCAAGGUUUAAGAUUUUUCUUGUUUCUGAAACUUUUGUCUGUGACUGUGAUAAGGAAUUUUUUUUCUGGCCAGGUUUAGGCCUCAAACUUAGAGCUGCCUAAGCACUUGCCAUUCCAGGCAUCGUGUAAUUUGAGGAAAAAUGACAAAAAAUUAACUUUUCUUCUGGGGAAAAAACCAUUCGGGGCCCAACUAGUCAAACUGUCAAAUUAUAUUGCAGGCCUCUAUGUUGUUGGCAUUCAAGUGUUGGGUUUUAAAAGAAUCUGUGUACUUAGCCUCUGUGAGUCACUGUCUCUCAGGCUUCUGAUUGUACACGAUCUUUUAAGCUUCUAUCUCUGCCUUCAGUGUGUGGGUGAAAUGUGGGCUUGCCAGUAGUAGCAGCCUGCACUUGUGACCCAACAAUUCACACUCAUAUCUGCCAACCUACUUGGUUAACUGUACAAAUUUGUUUGCUUUGACUGCAUCCUGAUUUGUGGUUUGUCCUCACCAUUUUUAUGGAACUUAAAUAAAUGCCGUAAAUGUGUUUGUGGAGCAGGAUGAAUAAAUUGUAUAAUUUGUUGGCUGUGGGAAGUCCUAUGCUUGUUUGGUGUGAAGAUAAAGGAUCUUGUUAGGCUAUCAACCAUUUAAUUUUUGUGCUCUUUUAGUUUUCCCUCCGUUUUUCCUAUCUUCUGUUCUUCUAUUGUUUGCCUCUCAUUUUCUUACUGCUUUCUUGUUCCAAUUCGGUCAAUUGACUGGUGUAAAUUUACGAAAGAGUGGGAUAAGGUUUUAAGGAUACCUGUAACCUCCAAAUAUGGUGUUGCAAAUGUGCUACAUGUGGAACUGUGAGGCAUUAUCGAUGAAAUUAGUUUGUAAGACUGCAGAAUAGAUUGUUGUACUGAAAGGAUUUCUAGUAUAAAGAGUAAUCUCCCAGGAGAGGAUGAACUAGAUAUAUGUAUAUAGUAGUUGUGGAGAAACAUAAUUAGGUUGAAGCAAUGGUAGAGAGGUUGAGCUUUGCAGUUGUUUGUUUGGAGCCUUAAACACAAAUUGUCAUAUAUCAUAAAUAUGGAUCAAAUAAAUCUGAUUCUAAGUGACUCAAAAGCCUGGAUCAAUUUUUUUGUGGUUGUGCCCAAUGCUAUUGGUUCUCUCUGCAUGUCCUCUAAGGUGCCUUUUCUUGUCUUCCAUUUAUUUUAUUUUUAUUGUUAUUGGAUAGAAGCCCUGUUUAAAUUCUGACUAUUAUCUGAUUUGUUGGAGCUGAAAAGUAGAUGCAUUGUCUGGAGAUUAUCAUUAGGGAUUCCAUUAUUUCUUUGCAUGACACUUUGGUUGGCCUAAUGCUGAAUAGAGAGAAAUCAGGGCAUAUCCCAAUCUGAUGGUUGUCUCAGCUGUGGGGUGUUGGCCAAGAUGUGAAUGGUGAUGUCGUGUUUGGAAAAUCUUUACAUUUGAAAGGAAAGAAUUGAUUGAUGACCCAAAGUCCCUGACACACUUUGAAUGAGACUAGUAGAAAUUUAAUUUGACUCCAACUGGGAUAUGUAGGAUCAAUCUAGUUGGAAGGUCAACUUCUAUUUGUUCUGAAGUUAACUGUUUUGCCUACGGGCCUCUCCUGCCCAAAUCCUUCUAGUCAUUGGUGUGGAAAAUAAAAACAGGGCUCAUUCUUAAGCCACAUUCCUAAGUAAUUUAAUCUCUUGCCUUGUCCUUCUUUCUGUUGCGUGUGUUGGUCAUCCACAGAACAUGUGCUGUCCUUGCAAGCCUUGGGUUAGUAGUAAACAUGUGGGUUGAACUUUAUUGUGUUUUCAAUGAACUUUGUUGCCUAUGGAUGUGUAGGCAUUGCAAAACUUUCAGCUCUUCCGGUGAACUUUGUUUCUCCCUAUGUUAUUUCAGUGGUAUAUCACAACUGUUUCCACAUAACAAUGUUAGCAUGGUUGUAAUUUGGCAUUCUUGCUUAGACAACUUCCAAGAAUGUGCAUAUUGCUGAUUUUCCCAGAGAGUGGAGACCCUUGCACUUUUCUUUUAGGUUAUAGGAAUUUUACAUGUUGAAUGGUCAUUAUUAGUAUAUUGAUUCCUCUUAACUUCUCAAAAAAGAAAGGGAGGAAGAAGAAGAAGGAAGAAAACAAAAACUACUACAUUCAGUACAUAUUUCUGAUUCAUGUUUGUGUGUGCCUUUAGAGACCUUUAUGUGCUCAUGUUUGUUACAUGACACAUUUUCCAAAAAGCUGAUGUCAGACCGAUUGAUGUAAAUAUUUCAGGUGGUUAUAUUUUCCACCUCUCUCUCUCUAUACGUGUGUGUUUUCU
rnacentral:lncRNA from 1 species